AGAGAGAGAGAGAGAGAGAUCUCUGAUUUACGUGCUUUGGCAAUUCUAAAAAUGCCAAAUCUAAGUCAAAUGCAGCACAUGAGGAAGAUUAUUUCUCUUUCAUAGCACAUACCUUAGCUCUGUCUAAUAGUUCCAGAGCAGGUGAGCUCAAAGGAAGAAAGGUUGAAGUCUCAAGUCAAUGUACAGGUACCUCUGGGACAGAAGGUGACUACAAACUAUUCCACAACACUCUGCUUAUGGAGCAAGGAGAAUGGUGACUGAGGACAUUGCAGAAAACCCUGCUUUUAGUAAAACUGAAAGCAAUGAAACAUUGA